rnacentral:lncRNA from 1 species
UUGUUCUUGGAGGCACCCUCUUCCCCAAAUUUUGAUCCAGAUUGUACAUUGCUUUCACAAAUCUUUCCAAAGCAUCUGCUUACAUUACUCUUUUCAAAGACCUCCAAUGCCUCUGCACUACCCCUGCAGCGCCUUCCGAAGUGUCUACUUCUACCAGAAAGGGAAAAUGAAUUUGUCCUAAGGUUGGUUCACCUGAGUGGAGAUGCAGCAUAUGAAGAAGCAGAAACUGUAUUUAGUUGGUCCAGCCAGGCUGGACAGAAACCUACCAGCAUGUACAAAACUAUUAGAUGUGCAUACCCUAUGAUCCAGCAAUUUCAUCUCUACGUGGUCAAAUGCUUAGAUUUUUCACAAGAACAUGCCCUGAUUUUACUGGCUGAGAACCUACUCACUAAAGACAGGCAGUGGAGGAAGCACCUGCCCAGAAGGAGAACCCAGAGCAAAUGGAAGGAGUAGGGAGGAGCCUGAAGGGCCAGGAAUGAAGUGGGCCAACCUGUCCAGCGGAGAAGCUGGGAUUACUGGGGAAGCGAGCUAUUUUCUACCAUUAAGGGCCCAUGCAACUGAUGUGUAAGGUGAGCAGAACUGGUCAGGAAUCCAGUUGUAUGAGGGAAGAUUCCAGAUCAGUGCCAAGGAGAACAUCUGUUAGCAGAGAAAGCUUCAAAGGAUAGAUAUUUAAUAUCUGUAUCUCUGCCUCAGUCACCUCAAAAAAAAAAAAAAAGUAUAAGGCUCCUCUCUUCUCUUGAUGGAGUUUUCCCUGGCAUUAAAUUGAUGGGAUCAAAAACAAGCAAAGACAGCUUCUUUGCUUCCUUUCCCCAAGUUACCUUUGUUUAUUCCUGGUAAUUAAGAUGACUAUUGCCUUGUAAGAAAAGCUGAAAAUUUCCCUCCCUCCCCACUCCACCCCGCCUUCAAAGACACACACACACACACACACACACACGCACGCACGCACGCACGUGUGCGCAUGCCAGGCCAUCUUGAAAAGUAUUGUCAAGCCCAGACCCUCCUGAACUUAUAGAUUUCCAACUGAUUCUUAGGUUGAGGAGCAACACUGAGCCAACCAAGGCCAAAGCUGUGAAAGAAUGAAAUGCCACGAGUUUAAUCAAUGUAGCCAGCCAAUUUAAACUUCUGUGAUUGAAAACAUUUCUUCAACUCUUCACUUAAUCUUUCUUUAUGGGAUAAAUUAAUCAUGUGAACAAUUCAGGCCUAAAAUCAACACAACCAAACUAAAUCUAGAUAGAAAAUGUGCUAUAUGAUUGGAGGCAGAAUGGAAGGUAGCAGCCUCUGAAUUCAAAACCUUUCAUUUUUAUUUUCUCGGCUCUGUUGCCAUGUUGGUGGGGAAGCUCUUAGAGCCAUUCUGAAUGUUGUCAGAUGCAGGAGGCGGUGUGCAGGGAGGCGUCUGCAACAUGAGGAGAGCACAGAUACCCUUGAAGAAUUCACGUGGAAGGGGAGGGCAAGCAUCAUAAGUGCACAUGUGUGUAUGGUUGGUUGGUUGGUUGUUUGGAAAGUAGAAAACGAUCAUAAUGACAACCAAAAUGGAGCCCAGCUCCAUAACAAGUUGUUGAAUAAAUAAAUGAAUUCUGUUUUCUCUGAAUCUCUU